GAUGAACGCUGGCGGCGUGCCUAAUACAUGCAAGUCGAGCGAACGGACGAGAAGCUUGCUCCUCUGACGUUAGCGGCGGACGGGUGAGUAACACGUGGAUAACCUACCUAUAAGACUGGGAUAACUUCGGGAAACCGGAGCUAAUACCGGAUAAUAUUUUGAACCGCAUGGUUCAAAAGUGAAAGACGGUUUUGCUGUCACUUAUAGAUGGAUCCGCGCUGCAUUAGCUAGUUGGUAAGGUAACGGCUUACCAAGGCAACGAUGCAUAGCCGACCUGAGAGGGUGAUCGGCCACACUGGAACUGAGACACGGUCCAGACUCCUACGGGAGGCAGCAGUAGGGAAUCUUCCGCAAUGGGCGAAAGCCUGACGGAGCAACGCCGCGUGAGUGAUGAAGGUCUUCGGAUCGUAAAACUCUGUUAUUAGGGAAGAACAUAUGUGUAAGUAACUAUGCACGUCUUGACGGUACCUAAUCAGAAAGCCACGGCUAACUACGUG
rnacentral:rRNA from 1 species